GAACAAUAAAAGUAAAAACUUUCGGCAAAGACGCUGAAAAAUUCUACCAAGUCGUUCAAGAAGGAGAAUUUUACACCCUGCAGUUCGCUAAAGUUGUCCCAACUGCAAACCCCACCAGAAAGGUGAAGGCUUCCAAAAUGUCAUUGAAAACAUUAGGGCCCGGAAGGAAUCACAGGGGUGUUGAAGAAUUUGAUGACACAAAUUUUGAUUGGCUAUCCUACCACGAAAAUGUUAAAAAAAUGUUUGAGCUGACAAACGAGUCUCCAACUGCUACUCCAGCUUUAUUGCAGCUUUGGGAAUCAACUUUUUCUGGUCGAAGAAGGGAGCUCGAAACCAAUGUGCUUCCUCAAGGCGUAUUCCCUGUUAUAAAUACCCGAUGCCCUAUUCUCAAACUACAACAAUGAUUACUGGAAGAAUUCGAUUUGAUAUGUGGACCGGGAACAUGCAGGAUCUUUCGAGAAAACUGGCUCAAGUUAGUUCCAAACAUCAUUGAUAUUGCUGGGAAGCAAAAGAUUUCGAAUAAAGUUGCUGAAAUUCUACAUCGUUAUCGUUCUUUGGAUUCACCUGAUUUCGAAACUAGUUCUUGCGCAGCCCUAGAGCUGCUUCCAUCAUUACUGCCAACUAGAAAACUGAAGGAUUCCUGUAGAUUUUUCUUCGACUGCCAUGAGGACUCAGUUAAUUUGGCUGAAGCAAUAAGGAAGCCCCAUCGCGAGUCACCCUUCAUUCUCAAACACGGGUCUUCGUUCCAUAUCAUUGCUGAUAGCAAACCGUAUUUAUACGUUUCUGGAGAAUCGAUGGAGGCCCUCCUUUCCCUCAUAGCAACUUAUUAUGUGUUUCACCAGACCUACGCGAAGGAAGUGUCAACCACAUUACAGUUUAUUCAAAGUGAAGUGCUUGCUGCGGACGACCCGGAUACCAAAUAUGCAAAUUCAUUAACGGUAUUUGUCCAAAAUUUGCGCAAAUUAGCUGCAUGUAAUGCGGAGUAAAAUGUUCGUAGCUCGUGCUCGUUGUGUCCAUCCUGCCUCUAAUUAUGUCAAAUCGACCUGUUGAAUGUUAAUCCAGAUUGUUAAAGUGUGUUACUUUCGUGGCAGAUCUAAGUGCUGAUCGAGCGCGGAAU